rnacentral:rRNA from 1 species
ACUGAACGCUGGCGGCAGGCUUAACACAUGCAAGUCGAGCGGGGUGAUGGUGCUUGCACUAUCACUUAGCGGCGGACGGGUGAGUAAUGCUUAGGAAUCUGCCUAUUAGUGGGGGACAACAUCUCGAAAGGGAUGCUAAUACCGCAUACGUCCUACGGGAGAAAGCAGGGGAUCACUUGUGACCUUGCGCUAAUAGAUGAGCCUAAGUGGGAUUAGCUAGUUGGUGGGGUAAAGGCCUACCAAGGCGACGAUCUGUAGCGGGUCUGAGAGGAUGAUCCGCCACACUGGGACUGAGACACGGCCCAGACUCCUACGGGAGGCAGCAGUGGGGAAUAUUGGACAAUGGGGGGAACCCUGAUCCAGCCAUGCCGCGUGUGUGAAGAAGGCCUUAUGGUUGUAAAGCACUUUAAGCGAGGAGGAGGCUCUUUUGGUUAAUACCCAAGAUGAGUGGACGUUACUCGCAGAAUAAGCACCGGCUAACUCUGUGCCAGCAGCCGCCGCAG